GACGAACGCUGGCGGCGUGCCUAACACAUGCAAGUCGAACGGAAAGGCCCUGCUCUUGUGGCGUGCUCGUGUGGCGAACGGGUGUGUAUCACGUGAGUAACCUCCCCUUGACUUUGGGAUAACUUCAGGAAACUGGGGCUAUUACCGGAUAUGAUCUCCUGCUGCAUGGUGUUGGUUGGAAAGUUUCGGCGGUUCGGGCUGGACUCGCGGCUUAUCAGCUUGUUGGUGGGGUAGUGGCUUACCAAGGCUUUGACGGGUAGCCGGCCUGAGAGGGUGACCGGGCACAAUGGGACUGAGAUAGGGCCCAGACUCGUACGGGAGGCAGCAGGGGGGAAUAUUGCAGAAUGGGCGGAAGCGUGAGGCAGCAGCGCCGCGUGCGGGAUGACGGCCUUCGGGUUGUAAACCGCUUUCGAAUGUGAAGAAGAGGGAGUGACGGUAAUGGGUAAAGAAGCAACGGCUAACUACGUG
rnacentral:rRNA from 1 species